UUGACGGUGACCGGCCAGAUGGCAUCGCGAUCGGUGAGCAUGGCAUCGCCGAAAUAGUCACCGUCGCCGAGCAUGCCGAGUUUGGUGGACUCGCCGUAUUCGCCGGUGCCGAUCUUGCCGAGUUUCCCGUGCACGAUCAGCAUCAGCUGAUCCAUCGGAUUCCCGAAUUCGGCGAUCACCGAUCCCGGUUCGAGAUCGCGCUGGACGAACUGCCGCGCCAUCGCCGCCAGGACCUCCUCGUCCUCGACCUCGCGCAGCGCGGGCAGUUCCCGCAGCUCCAGCGGUAUGACGUGGGCGUGCGCGCCGUCGAUCACGAAUUCCACCUCGCCGUUGCCGACGGUGUGGGUGAGGCGGCGGUUGACCCGGUAGACACCGCCCUCGACCUGCGUCCACGGCAGCAUCCGGGUGAGCCAGCGCGAGGAGAUGCCCUGCAUCUGGGGCUCGGAUUUGGUGGUGUGCGCGAGCUGAUGGGCGG
rnacentral:antisense_RNA from 1 species